AUGGAAAUUCUUUCUAUUUCACAUCUUCUUUCUUGCGCUUGUCAUGUAUUCUGUAAACUGCAAAGGCUGUCUCUUGGAUGGUGCAAUAACAUUUUAUUCUGUCAGAUCUCUCUUAUUUUGCCUGACAGGCACAGGAGUAUGGAUGAUCAAAAAGCCUGCUACUGGAUUUCAGCAAGGACUAGCUUAGUGAGGAUCAAUUCAGACAGAAGUUUGGGGAAGCAAGCUUCAUCCCUAUGUAUGAGAGAUCUAAUCCAACAUUCAUGAUGUGGAUUUGCAAUAAGAAAUCCAACUUGUUUUCACUAUCUUGACUGCUCCUAAAUGUUCAGUAAGCAACCCUAAAUGUUCAGUAAGCAGCGUGACUUUACCUGGGAAAGGGAACAUUGUCCUUGCCACCGAUAUACAAUAAGAUAAACACUCUACACUUUUGUGUGCCUCAGGCAAGGCAUGAGAGACAAUGUGGCUUGCUGGAGUUAAUAUAGGGACAAGGGUUAGUAAUUUCUGACUUUUAAUUCCAGCUCUCUAAAAGGCUCAGUCUGUGACCUACAGCAGCAUACUUAACAUUGUUAGUUUCUCAGGAAGAAACGUCCCUGCAAGGGUACUAAUGCAUUUUUCUCCUCCCAAGAGUGGUGUGAGGAUACAUUACUUCCAAUUUGCAAAGCAUUUUGAAAUUAAAAGUCUAUACUUUGUAGGUAGAAGUAUGACUACUAACAGUAUUAGUUUCAUUUCAUUCCUUUAUUAAGAAUUCACUAUCAUAAAUCUGGAAACUAAUCAAUUGAAUAGUCAGCUCAAAAUCUGUGAUUUUGCUGAGAUCACAUAUACCCAAUUUCAAAGGAAAAAAAAAAUUGUCAGUCUUUUACUCUGAGGUGAGUACCAGAACACUGAGAGAAUUUUUCAUUACUGGAUUCUCACACCUAGCUAAGUUCAGGUUAUUCUAGGAACAAGUUGGAGCAAGUUUAAGCAAGUUGCAGCUGGAAAGAAUAAAUGUACCGAGAGGGUUCUUGAUGAAUGGUUA
rnacentral:lncRNA from 1 species